rnacentral:tRNA from 1 species
GGGGCUGUAGCUCAGCGGCAGAGUGCUUGCCUUGCAUGCAUGGGGCACUGGGUUCGAUCUUCAGCACCA